rnacentral:tRNA from 1 species
AAUAAGAUGCCUGAUUAAAGGGUUAUCUUGAUAGGAUAAAUUAAGUAAUUCAUUAUUACUCUUAUUA